CUCAUCUGAACGGGGAGACUGAAAAGGGAAGCGGUGUGUGGCAUUCACUCACUGCCCUACUGAGAAGCAACAACACAAUCCUCCCUCCCCAUUUUCUAAAGGCAGAAAACCCCAGGUGGGGCUGGGAUCCCUUCUCUGCCUCUGCUUCCUGGGCUGGUGCAGCCCCCUUGUGCUGGAAAUGGCCCACCUUGAUUAUCAUACACAUUGUAAGGAGAGUGAUCACUUUAGAUAAGCUAUUACCAGCAGGAGAGUAGGGUGGGGGGAGAGAAAACCUUUUGAAGUGAUAAACACCCACUUUUUUCAUGGUCUGUGUGUAUAAAACAUUCUCACUGCAUUUUCCACUGUAUGCAUCCGAUGAAGUGAGCUGUAGCUCAGGAAAGCUCAUGCUCAAAUAAAUUGGUUAGUCUCUAAGGUGCCACUAGUACUCCUUUUCUUUUUGCAAAUACAGACUAACACGACUGCUACUCUGAAACUCCUCUAUCCAGCAGCUCUAUCCCUUUAAAUUGCCGCCGGGGCCGCAGCCCGUGCCGGAAGGACCCUGGGACUGCAGCUGGUGGUGGCUAUUUAUACCCGGGCCGGAGCAGGGGGAACCGGAUUGCGCCUCUCAGUGCGACCGUGGGCAGGGAGAGGCCGCGGCGCGCAGGGGGCGGGCGGCGGGAUUCCAUGUCUCCUUGAGGCGUCGGCUUGGCUGUGCAGGGGCUGGGUUUGGGGGUGACCUGCAAAGGGGCGUUUCCUUCCUGCCAUGGAUGCAGCAGGGGCCUGAAGGUGCCCGCCCAGCCCGAGGCGCCCCGGGUGGCGGCGGCCGCGCUAGCUCCGAGGAUCGUGCCCGUAGAGACGCUGCCAUGGCCACGGCCGUGUCCUCCACCCCGGGAGGCAGCGGGCGAGCUGUGGGUCGCUCGGCCGCGUUCUCCCCUCUCAGCCCGACCCGGCUCAGCCGGCUGCAGGAGAAGGAGGAGCUGCAGCAGCUCAAUGACCGCCUGGCCGCCUACAUCGACCGGGUGCGGGCCCUGGAGGCCGAUAAGUCCGCGCUGCAGCAGCGGCUGGCGGAGCAGGAGGAAGGGAGCAGCCGGGAGCUGGGCAACGUGCGGCUCCGCUACGAGACCGAGCUGGCCGAUGCCCGCAAGGCGCUGGACUGCAUCGCUAUCGAGCGGGCCACGCUGCAGGUGGAGCUGGGCAAGCUCAGCGAGGAGCACCGGCAGCUGCACGCCAGGAAUUCUAAAAAAGAAGCUGACUUAAACCUGGCACAGGCUCGUAUAAGAGACCUUGAUGCUCAGCUGAACUCCAAGGAAGCUGACUUAGCAACUGCUUUGAGUGGAAAAAGAAGUUUGGAGGGCAACCUUCAAGAGUUAAAGGAUCAAAUAGUCACUCUUAAGUUGGCAUUGGAAGAUACCAAGAAGCAUCUCCACGGAGAAAUGUUGAGGAGAGUGGACCUGGAAAACCAAAUGAAAACUCUGCAAGAACAAAUGACAUUCCAGAAACACCUUCAUGAAGAUGAGCUCAAGGAAACAAAAAGAUUCCAUGAGAGCAGGAUAGCGGAAAUAGAAUCUGGCCGUCAAAGGGAAUUUGAGAGCAAACUUUCAGAUGCUCUGCAAGGACUUAGAAAGGAGCAUGAAGAACAAAUUCAAGAAUACAAAGAUGACUUGGAGCGCACAUUCAGUGCCAAAAUGGAGAAUGCCCAACUUUCUGCCGCAAAAAAUAGCGACUUUGCCAAUGCUGCUCGGGAGGAGCUGAUGGAAACAAAGAUGAGAGUUGACACUUUGACAUCCCAGCUUAAUCAUUAUCAAACCCAGAACUGUGUAUUGGAGAACAGAAUAAGAGAGUUACAGGAGACCCUGGAUUAUGACCGUGAGAUGCAUCGAAGGCGUAUGGCUGAAAAAGAUAAAGAAAUGGUACAAACGCGGCGGCAGAUGCAAGCACAGUUGGAAGAAUAUGAGCAUCUACUAGAUGUGAAACUGGCUCUAGAUCUGGAAAUAAAUGCCUACAGAAAGAUGCUAGAAGGAGAAGAACAGAGGCUAAAAUUGUCAUCUAGUCCAUCUUCCCAAAGUGUUGCAACCCAGGCAACAACCAGCCAUGGGCAUCGCUUCCUACAUGGAAAAAAGAGAAAACUGAAAGAAUCCAAAAAGGGAGAGCACAGUGUCAGCUUUAAGAUUGUUCAGCAUGCUUCAUGUUCAGGAAAUGUGUCCAUAGAAGAAAUUGACACAGAAGGGAAUUUUGUCAAACUUAAAAACAACUCAGAUGAGGAUCAAUCACUAAAUGGCUGGGUACUAAGACGACGACUUGGAAGCUUGUCUGAAAUAAUAUACAAAUUCCCUGCUCGGUUUGUCCUUCAGGCAGGCCAAGUAGUUACGAUCUGGGGUGCUGAUGCUGGUGUAAACCAGAGUCCUAGUGAUCUGGUCUGGAAAUCACAGCGGUCUUGGGGAACUGGGGAUAACAUUGGUGUUACACUCAUCAAUGCCGAUGGAGAGGAGACUGCAGAACGGAAGAUCAUACAUGUAUCCAGAGGAGAAGGUGAACUGGACGAUGAGUUUGAUGAAGAAGAAAUAACAGGGAGCGAAAUGGAGUUUCAUCGUCGGACCAAAAGAAGAAAAAAGAAAUGUUGUUUGGUGUCAUGAUUGUGUUUCCUGUGAGCAUCACAAAAUAGGACAAAGAAUAAACCACGUGGGAAUUAGUUAGAAGUGUCUCCAGCAAAACGAAGAUCCUAGCUGUUCUGUCAUGUAACUAAACCCAAGGUAGUGACUACCUAAAACCACUCCUUAAACCAAAGUGACCCUUCAGACUGCAUGAAUUUUCAGCAGCUUCUGGAACAUGUGAAUCUAGGAAUUUUUUCCCCUAUCAGAUGUGUUUGGCGAAAGGAAGUUUCAAAUUUUGGAGGAUGCUAUUUGUUGAUAUUGGGCCCUGCCUUCAAUGAAACUAGAUCAAAGUGCACAUUUCCUUUUUCUAAGUCUCUUUCCAGGACAAAUAGAAGUAUUUGAUUUAUUCACCCACAACUACUUGCCCUAAAGUUUACAAUAACCUCCUGCUAGGCAUGUCUCCUCCUAGCCAAGGAUGGUAACUGCUCACAAAUGUAAUAGCUCCAGCUUUCUAAACUCCUGAUUUAUUCAAAAUAUUUUUCUCAAAAGCAGGCUUAGAAGGAAAACUGUUUCAAGCCUGACUGAAAUUUAGGUGGACCAAAUACUGCCUUGACUUACACCUUGUGCAACUCCACUGAAUUGAAAGUCAGAACAAAUUGUUAUCCUUGUUUCAAACACCAAGAUCUAAGCCAAAUGAUAUGAUGAUCUACUGGUGUAAAGUUUUAAAAUGAGCAAUCUAUUUGUAAAACAUGUGGUUUUUUUAACCUGUGGUUAAAUAAACCAACCAUUAUACUGUUUCUAUAGCCUAGUACCUGUUAACCUCAAAAUCUGUAUUUAUUAAACUAUGUACAACAGCACUUUGGAUAGAAGCUAUGUAUAGUGAAGUGUUAAACUUUGAGGUGAGUAGCUUUGUACUAUAAAUGUGAACUGAGUCUGAUGCCAACAUAGCAAUACUGUGGUUAAAUAUAUCCAUACCUAAGUUAACGGCUUACUUGGCAAAAUAUUAAUGGGGAUAGAAUUUAAUUGAACAGUUUGGUAUAGCUAGAGAUAUCACACUCCAAUGAUUGCUAAGUCUUCUUACCCUUUUAAGAAAGUUCCUGUGCUUAUUAAACAUGUGAAAUACAGAUGUGCAGUUUACACUGUCACUUCAGUAUUCAUAACUGAGGUGAGGACAACUUCUGUUUUUGUCAAAUAGCUAGAUAUGUUCCCUAUUAGAGCACUGAGUUCAAGUGGAUUAAUAUUGCAUUGUAACAAGGUACAGCUAAAAUGUCUAGCACAGAGGGGUUGAUCAUGGGUAGCCACUACAGUUAGCCACUGUAGCUUUAUUUUUUUGUUUACCUAGUGGCUAUACUAAAAAGGUAGGAAAUGGCCCAGCAAGAGUCCCUAGUUAAGCAAAGCAAGUCUGUUUCCUUGCUUAAAAAGUUAGCUGAUAAUGCAGCCCCAUCUGAGCACUGGAGCAGCUUUCAGCAUUUUGUUGCCUUGCCAAAAGUCUCUACUGCAUAGUAUGUCUGAACUUUAAGAUCUGGCCCAUGUUAGGACCAUGCUUUUUAGAGUGCUUUAGAGUUCCCUUCAAUUGGACUAAUUAAAAUAUAGUAUUUUAAGACACUGGACACCUAAAUGGUGACUGAAUUUGGCCUUUCAUAUUUUAGCAGACCCAAAUCCUUCAUUUUGUUGCACCUUGUCACUUUAGAAGAAUUUAAAAUAAGCUCUGUUUAUGAUCUUGCUGUGUUUAUAAUCUUGGGCUGUUCAAUUGAUAUUUUUUUUAUUAAAGAUAUUUUCCAUGUA